rnacentral:rRNA from 1 species
UGCCAGCAGCCGCGGUAAUACGGAGGAUCCAGGCGUUAUCCGGAUUUAUUAGGUUUAAAGGGUACGUAGGCGGAAGAAUAAGUCAGUGGUGAAAUCCUGCAGCUCAACUGUAGAACUGCCAUUGAUACUGUUUUUCUUGAGUAUAGUCGAAGUAGGUGGAAUUCCAUAUGUAGUGGUGAAAUGCAUAGAUAUAUGGAGGAACGCCAAUAACGAAAGUAGCUUGCUAGACUGUUACUGACGCUGAGGUACGAAAGCAUGGGGAGCAAACGGGAUUAGAUA